GUAAUAGAUAUGGCAGCAGAAGUUAAAAUAUAUUCAUGUAAAUGAUAAAUGUAAAAAUCUGAUUAAGCAGAUCACACAGUAACUUAAUAUGUAUUUUUUCUAUAUCCUCAGACAGAUAGAGAAAUCAAAUGGAAGGAUUCCCUUGCUUCUCAUUCAGCUCCUGUUCCAAGUUAGCUGUUUACUCAGUCUGCAAUUACCAUACUAAGUCAAUUCAUUUUCAAGUUCCUGCGUGCAACCAUGAAGGCAAGAGGCAUACUUACAUCUUAGAAAAUAGGGGGAAUUUGAAUGAGUUGGUGAUGGCUAAUGGCUAAUUCAGUCCUAACACCACCAUUUAUUUAAUGGUAGGACAGAUGCAAAGGGUACAACAACCUCUAAGCCACAAUACAGCUCUCCCUCCAUUCUGAGAUGGAUCCUCUUGCAGGUGGCAAUGCAGGAGCUCGGAUUCCAGUCCAGCAAGGGUGUAAUGAGGAAUAGCUCAAUCCACAGUCUGAGCCCACUUUCCAUUUUGUAACAGUUUACAAGUACUGAAUGCUUAUUUCCCAUUAACAUUAAAAAACCACAACUGA